rnacentral:rRNA from 1 species
GAUGAGUCUUUUGGCGGAGCGCCGUCCAAGUUCCCUGGAACGGGACGCCGGAGAGGGUGAGAGCCCCGUACCGACGUGCGCCGAGUCUUUGCAAAGCUCAUUCGAAGAGUCGAGUAGUUUGGAAAUGCUGCUCUAAUUGUGGGGUAAAUCUCCCAUAAGGCUAAAUACUGGCCAGAGACCGAUAGCGCACAAGUAGCGUGAGCGAAAGAUGAAAAGAGCCUUGAACAAGGGCGUCAAAAAGCAUGUGAAAUUGUUAUGGGGGAAGCGCUCAAUGCCAGACGUGGCGACGGUUGGUUACCCGGCGUUCUCGCCGGCGCACUCUGCCGCCGCCAGGCCAGCAUCAGUUCGGUCCGGGGCUUACUUCCGCUCGGAACGUGGCUCUUCGGAGUGUUAUAGCCCUGCGGCGACGCCCUGGGCCGGACUGAGGAACGCGCAUCUGCCCGGAUGCUGGCGUAAUGGCUUUUAGCGACCCGUCUUGAAACACGGACCAAGGAGUUGACCUAGUAUGCGAGUGUUUGGGUGUCAAGCCCUCACGCGCAGUGAAAGCGAACGCAGGUGGGAGCCUCGGCGCACCAUCGACCGAUCCUGAAGUUUACGGAUGGAUUUGAGUAGGAGCAUACUGGGUCUGACCCGAAAGAAGGUGAACUAUGCAUGAAUAGGGUGAAGCCAGAGGAAACUCUGGUGGAGGCUCGCAGCGGUUCUGACGUGCAAAUCGAUCGUCAAAUUUGUGCAUGGGGGCGAAAGACCAAUCGAACCUUCUAGUAGCUGGUUCCUGCCGAAGUUCCCUCAGGAUAGCAGAGUUGAUCCUCAGUUUCAUGAGGUAAAGCGAAUGAUUAGAGACUCGGGGGCGCUAUAUUGCCUUCUCUAUUCUCAA